rnacentral:lncRNA from 1 species
CAUUUAGGGUUCAAUUGGGACAUGUUUACAUAAAGAGAGACGGAGGUUCGAACCCCAAACACCCAACUUCUUCACCUUUAAAAGGUGGAACCUUUCUCGAUCUCGAUUGUUUUGUUUUUCUUCGCUUGUUUCCACGUCACCACGUGUGUCAUAGCUGAUCUUGUUUAUUAACUUUACAUUCACGAUAUCUCCCAUUUAUUGGUUGUAAGAUCUUCAUAGCUUGCUUCAGUUGUUCCUUGAUGAUAUUUGAAUAUCAUAUGUGAAGACACAUGGUUCACGUGAAUCAAGACUUCAUGAAGGAUGUUUGUAUCGACGAUAUGGUUUAUAAGGGAUUGGUAUGAAUAUGCUUUAAUUUAUGUUUGCAAAGUGUUUUCAGUCAGUACUCCGAUCAGCCUUGUCUACGCCAGUUAACAUCAGACACAGUUUAGUGUCUAAUAAAUGAUCGUCAUAAGUUGGAAUUGUUCGGUUUAGGCAGUCCGAGCAUUGUUCCUAAUCUUAAAUACCUAGUCCGAUCAUAUAAACCAGAAGGAAUAAUCCUGUCUGAAAAAAUGACAACGGCAAAUAAAAUUGAAAAGUUAAGUAUAUUUUAUCUUUUAAGUACCGUUUCCCUCUAGAUAGAAUUGGUAGAGGACGAGGUCUAGCUCACCGUUGGAAAAAAAAUCUCUUGAUUCUUGUAUCACAAGUUAUUCGCAAAAUUAUAUUGAUCAGUAGAUUAUUGAUUAGAUUCAUGAUCAUUGGAGGUUAACUGGUUUCUAUAGCAUGUUGGAGAGGGGGACUCUGUAAGGAUUCUUGGAAUCUCCUUAUUGUCCCUUCGGUCACCCCUUCCAUGGUGUGUUAUUGGGGACUUGAAUGACAUUCAGACAGUGGAAGAAAAAAAGGAAGAUCAGGGAGGCAACCUUCUUUAUUUCAAAGCUUUCGACAAGCAGUUCUUGAUGCUGGUCUUAUUAAUAUUCUGGUUCAAAAUCGUACUUUGGCAGAUUGUGUACCCGGUAACUAUUGAUCAGAUGCAUGAAUCAAAUUGUCAUCCCAAAUUAACGUAUUAUAAUAGAAACUUCAGGAACUAUUAAAUGUGGAAGAAGAUACUCGUCCAAUCUUCCCGUGCUUAGGUACAUUGAGUAGGCCGCCAUUGGAUUUCAUCGACAAAGAACUAUGAGGCCAGAAUUCCUAAACACCUUAUUCCCUGGUUGCUCAAAGUCUGCAUGUGUUUCGAAGCUCAUGCGUUUCAAAACACCAUAUGCCGAGUUGUUCAAGACCUUGAAACUAUUCGACGAGAAUCUAGCUCACUAUUAAAGAAUCUCAAAGCUCAUGAUUGGUAAAAGAAUUCUAAUCUUAAACCGUUCAUGGCAUAUAUUAGAAAUCAGAAGCACUUCAUAUCAGACAAAAACCAUGGUUACUGGUUAGAUAUAUGUUUGGGUUUGAACUAUGUAUGUAUAGCAAUAAAAAUUAGCAUUCUGUGUUAAACAUGCAUGAAGUGUGUUUGCUAGAUACUGAAAUCUUUGUAUACUUUUCUGUGUUAUUAGAUUUGUUGCUAUACUGUAUUUGUAUUCUAUAUACUAAAAUUACAUGUUAUUUGUAUUUGUAACUCACCCUCAAUUAUUUAAUUGAUAGUUACAAAAGAAUAAACAAAAGCAGUUUAACUUUCAUCUUCAAUUUCAA